rnacentral:sRNA from 1 species
GGACGUGAGGGUGAUCUGGCUGCGACGUCCAUCACCCCAUUGAUCGCCAGGGCUGAUUUGGCUGAUCUGGCUGGCUAGGCAGGUGUCCCCUUCCUCCCUCACCCCUCCGUGCGUGUCCCUCUGGAAGCUGCGCGCUAGGUCGAACCGGACGACCUUCCCUGAUAGAGGAGGACAGUUCUUCGGUCAAGGGUAUACGAGUUAGAACCUCCAAGGGUAUACGAGUUAGAACAUCCAACCUCCUGGAUGCAGGGCCAGAGGUACGGA